AUUGAACGCUGGCGGCAUGCCUUACACAUGCAAGUCGAACGGUAACAGGUCUUCGGAUGCUGACGAGUGGCGCACGGGUGAGUAAUACAUCGGAACGUGCCCGAUCGUGGGGGAUAACGAGGCGAAAGCUUUGCUAAUACCGCAUACGAUCUACGGAUGAAAGCGGGGGAUCUUCGGACCUCGCGCGGACGGAGCGGCCGAUGGCAGAUUAGGUAGUUGGUGGGAUAAAAGCUUACCAAGCCGACGAUCUGUAGCUGGUCUGAGAGGAUGAUCAGCCACACUGGGACUGAGACACGGCCCAGACUCCUACGGGAGGCAGCAGUGGGGAAUUUUGGACAAUAGGCGAAAGCCUGAUCCAGCCAUGCCGCGUGCAGGAUGAAGGCCUUCGGGUUGUAAACUGCUUUUGUACGGAACGAAAAGCCUCUUUCUAAUAAAGAGGGGUCAUGACGGUACCGGAAGAAUAAGCACCGGCUAACUACGUG
rnacentral:rRNA from 1 species